rnacentral:rRNA from 1 species
ACAUAGCUGCUUGGGCCAUGGGUCUAUAGGAAAGGCGGUGAAGUCUGCCCAAUGGCCGUAACAGAAAAAACUAGGUAUAGCGUAGCGAGUAAAGCCGGUUAAAUGGCCGCGGUAACUCUGACCGUGAUAAUGUAGCGCAAUAACUAGCCAGUUGAUUGCUGGAAUGUAUGAAAGGCUUAACGAGUGCCCUGCUGUCUCAAGGUGAGGACCAGUGAAAUUGAAGAGAUAGUGAAGAUGCUAUUGUGAGCUGUAAGACGAGAAGACCCCGUCGAGCUUUACUACAAACUAAGAGGGUGCAUGAUGAGGACAGGGGUGGAAAUCACAGCAGUAGGCAAUCAGUAUAAUCCGUAAGGAAAGUCUUAGUGGGGUAGUUUGGUUGGGGCGACGGCCUUUAAAAAAGUAACAAAGGUGCACAAAGGUGAGGAUGUAAUAGAAAGAGCUAUGUGAGAGAGAAAACCUGACAGUGAGGAGUACGGCCUAGCUGACAUAAGAGAAAAUUGUGGGUUAUAGUGACCAGUUAUUAUGGAGUGGGGCAAAUAACGAUCAACGGAUAAAAGCUACCGCGGGGAUAACAGCGUUAUCUGUUUCAAGAGCUCGUAUCGACGAACAGGUU